UACGUAGGGUGCAGGCGUUAAUCGGAAUUACUGGGCGUAAAGCGUGCGCAGGCGGUUUGCUAAGAGAGAUGUGAAAUCCCCGGGCUUAACCUGGGAACUGCGUUUCUAACUGGCAGGCUUGAGUGUGGCAGAGGGGGGUGGAAUUCCACGUGUAGCAGUGAAAUGCGUAGAGAUGUGGAGGAACACCGAUGGCGAAGGCAGCCCCCUGGGCUAACACUGACGCCUCAUGCACGAAAGCGUGGGUAGCAAACAGG
rnacentral:rRNA from 1 species